rnacentral:rRNA from 1 species
GAUGAACGCUGGCGGCGUGCCUAAUACAUGCAAGUCGAGCGAACAGACGAGGAUCUUGCUCCUCUGACGUUAGCGGCGGACGGGUGAGUAACACGUGGAUAACCUCCCUAUCAUACUGGGAUCACUUCGGGACACCGGAUCUAAUACCGUAUAAUCUAUUGCACCGCAUGGUUCAAUAGUGAAAGACGGUUUUGCUGUCACUUCUCGCUGGAUCCGCGCCGCAUUAGCUAGUUGGUAAGGUCACGGCUUACCAAGGCUACGAUGCGUAGCCGACCUGAGAGAGGGAUAGGCGACACUGGAACUGAGACACGGUCAUGAGUCCUAAGGGAGGCAGCAGUAGGGAAUCUGCGGCAAUGGGCGAAAGCCUGACGGAGCAAGGCGGCGUGAGUGAUGAAGGUCUUCGGAGCGUAAAAAUCGGUUAUUAGGGAAGAACAAAUGUGGAAGGAAAUAUGCACGUCGUGACGGUAACGAAUCAGAAAGCAACGGCUAACUACGUG